CCUACGGGAGGCAGCAGUGAGGAAUAUUGGUCAAUGGACGCAAGUCUGAACCAGCCAUGCCGCGUGCAGGAAGACGGCUCUAUGAGCUGUAAACUGCUUUUGUACGAGGGUAAACGCAGAUACGCGUAUCUGUCUGAAAGUAUCGUACGAAUAAGGAUCGGCUAACUCCGUGCCACCCGCCGCGGUAAGACGGAGGAUUCAAGCGUUAUCCGGAUUUAUUGGGUUUAAAGGGAGCGUAGGCGGUCGGAUAAGUUAGAGGUGAAAUCCCGAGGCUCAACUUCGGAAUUGCCUCUGAUACUGGUAGGCUAGAGAGUAGUAGCGGUAGGCGGAAUGUAUGGUGUAGCGGUGAAAUGCUUAGAGAUCAUACAGAACACCAAUGGCGAAGGCAGCUUACCAAGCUACGUCUGACGUUGAGGCACGAAAGCGUGGGGAGCAAACAGGAUUAGAUACCCCAGUAGUC
rnacentral:rRNA from 1 species